UAGUCGAAAAUGUUGUCUCUCUUGAGUGGAUCCUGAGUACGACGGAGCACGUGAAAUUCCGUCGGAAUCUGGGAGGACCAUCUCCUAAGGCUAAAUACUCUCUAGUGACCGAUAGUGAACCAGUACCGUGAGGGAAAGGUGAAAAGCACCCCGGAAGGGGAGUGAAAUAGAACCUGAAACCGUGUGCUUACAAGUAGUCAGAGCCCGUUAAUGGGUGAUGGCGUGCCUUUUGUAGAAUGAACCGGCGAGUUACGAUUUGAUGCAAGGUUAAGCAGUAAAUGUGGAGCCGUAGCGAAAGCGAGUCUGAAUAGGGCGUUUAGUAUUUGGUCGUAGACCCGAAACCAGGUGAUCUACCCUUGGUCAGGUUGAAGUUCAGGUAACACUGAAUGGAGGACCGAACCGACUUACGUUGAAAAGUGAGCGGAUGAACUGAGGGUAGCGGAGAAAUUCCAAUCGAACCUGGAGAUAGCUGGUUCUCUCCGAAAUAGCUUUAGGGCUAGCCUCAAGUGAUGAUUAUUGGAGGUAGAGCACUGUUUGGACGAGGGGCCCCUCUCGGGUUACCGAAUUCAGACAAACUCCGAAUGCCAAUUAAUUUAACUUGGGAGUCAGAACAUGGGUGAUAAGGUCCGUGUUCGAAAGGGAAACAGCCCAGACCACCAGCUAAGGUCCCAAAAUAUAUGUUAAGUGGAAAAGGAUGUGGCGUUGCCCAGACAACUAGGAUGUUGGCUUAGAAGCAGCCAUCAUUUAAAGAGUGCGUAAUAGCUCACUAGUCGAGUGACACUGCGCCGAAAAUGUACCGGGGCUAAACAUAUUACCGAAGCUGUGGAUUGUCCUUUGGACAAUGGUAGGAGAGCGUUCUAAGGGCGUUGAAGCAUGAUCGUAAGGACAUGUGGAGCGCUUA
rnacentral:rRNA from 1 species